rnacentral:sRNA from 1 species
UCGCAUGGGACCUGGAUGACUGAGCGA